rnacentral:sRNA from 1 species
AAGAAACAACUCUAACAACAAAAA